rnacentral:rRNA from 1 species
CCCUUAACUGAGGACUAGUAUGAACGGCUAAAUGAGGGCUCGACUGUCUCCUGCAACAAGCCAAUGAACUUGAUCUAUCAGUACAAAAGCUGAUAUAGUCCCAUAAGACGAAAAGACCCUAUGGAACUUUAAACCCUAAUACUACCAGACUAACACAACCUUGUCCUAGUAUAACUUUUAAGUUGGGGCAACUGUGGAGCAAAACAGAAACUCCACGUCCUAGCGCAUAACCCGCGAGCACCUAAGGCCACCACGCCACAGAACAAUGCUUGACCCAGUCCAACUGACUACCGAACCAAGUUACCCUAGGGAUAACAGCGCCAUCUUCCCCUAAGAGCCCAUAUCACCGGGGAGGCUUACGACCUCGAUGUUGGAUCAGGACCCCCAGGCGGUGCAGCUGCUGCCAAUGGUUCGUUUGUUCAACGAUUAAUGUCCU